AAAUUGAAGAGUUUGAUCAUGGCUCAGAUUGAACGCUGGCGGCAGGCCUAACACAUGCAAGUCGAACGGUAACAGGAAGCAGCUUGCUGUUUCGCUGACGAGUGGCGGACGGGUGAGUAAUGUCUGGGAAACUGCCUGAUGGAGGGGGAUAACUACUGGAAACGGUAGCUAAUACCGCAUAACGUCGCAAGA
rnacentral:rRNA from 1 species